CACGUAGGGUGCGAGCGUUGUCCGGAAUUAUUGGGCGUAAAGGGCUCGUAGGCGGUUUGUCGCGUCGGGAGUGAAAUCCUACGGCUUAACUGUGGGCUUGCUUUCGAUACGGGCAGACUAGAGGUAUGCAGGGGAGAACGGAAUUCCUGGUGUAGCGGUGAAAUGCGUAGAUAUCUGGAGGAACACCGGUGGCGAAGGCGGCAUCCUGGACCGGCAUUGACGCUGAGGCGCGAAAGCCAGGGGAGCAAACGGGG
rnacentral:rRNA from 1 species